rnacentral:rRNA from 1 species
UGAGGAAUAUUGGUCAAUGGACGAGAGUCUGAACCAGCCAAGUAGCGUGAAGGAUGACUGCCCUAUGGGUUGUAAACUUCUUUUAUACGGGAAUAAAGUAUUCCACGUGUGGAAUUUUGUAUGUACCGUAUGAAUAAGGAUCGGCUAACUCCGUGCCAGCAGCCGCGGUAAUACGGAGGAUCCGAGCGUUAUCCGGAUUUAUUGGGUUUAAAGGGAGCGUAGGUGGAAGAUUAAGUCAGCCUGUGAAAGUUUGCGGCUCAACCGUAAAAUUGCAGUUGAUACUGGUUUUCUUGAGUGCAGUAGAGGUGGGCGGAAUUCGUGGUGUAGCGGUGAAAUGCUUAGAUAUCACGAAGAACUCCGAUUGCGAAGGCAGCUCACUGGACUGUAACUGACACUGAUG